rnacentral:rRNA from 1 species
UACGAAGGGGGCUAGCGUUGCUCGGAAUCACUGGACGUAAAGGGUGCGUAGGCGGGUCUUUAAGUCAGGGGUGAAAUCCUGGAGCUCAACUCCAGAACUGCCUUUGAUACUGAGGAUCUUGAGUUCGGGAGAGGUGAGUGGAACUGCGAGUGUAGAGGUGAAAUUCGUAGAUAUUCGCAAGAACACCAGUGGCGAAGGCGGCUCACUGGCCCGAUACUGACGCUGAGGCACGAAAGCGUGGGGAGCAAACAGG